UGAGGAAUAUUGGUCAAUGGGCGAGAGCCUGAACCAGCCAAGUCGCGUGAGGGAAGGAGGUCCUACGGAUUGUAAACCUCUUUUGCGGGGGAGCAACGGGCGCCACGUGUGGCGCCGUGAGCGUACCCCGAGAAAAAGCAUCGGCUAACUCCGUGCCAGCAGCCGCGGUAAUACGGAGGAUGCGAGCGUUAUCCGGAUUUAUUGGGUUUAAAGGGUGCGUAGGCGGCACGGAAAGUCAGCGGUAAAAAUGCGGUGCUCAACGCCGUACAGCCGUUGAAACUGACGGGCUAGCGUACGCCAGGAGCAUGCGGAAUGCGCGGUGUAGCGGUGAAAUGCAUAGAUAUCGCGCAGAACUCCGAUCGCGAAGGCAGCAUGCUAUGGCGAAACGGACGCUGAGGCACGAAAGCGCGGGGAUCGAACAGGAUUAGAUACCCUGGUAGUCCGCGCAGUAAACGAUGAGCGCUAACUGUCCGGUCCGAACGGGGGCUGGGGGGUAAAGCGAAAGCGUUAAGCGCUCCACCUGGGGAGUACGCCGGCAACGGUG
rnacentral:rRNA from 1 species